CUGUGCUUUUAUAUUCUCACAGUUUAAGCCCACAAAAGUCAGUGGUCAUUGGCUCCUGCUGUGUCUCUGAGCUUGCCCUCACCUGGCUGCCCACAGACCCCUUUGCAAAGGGUCAGCAGCUCAUGGCCCCUUGCCUUGGGCUCUCACUGCUCAGAGCUCAGCCUGCAGCUCACACUGCUACCAGCUACCUGCCCUGAAUGGAUUCCUCAACUGUUAACAUGAAAAUUCCAGAUACCGCUAAUGAUACACCUUAACAUUGCAGGAGUUCCUUCACAGAUUUCACAGCAGAUGUUCUGAAGCUUUCUAGGGUUUAUUUUCUCAAAAAAUGAGAGGUAGAGCUAGUACUAUUUACUUUACAAGCAAAAAGGAUGCCCCAGACCAGAGCAUCAGGCAAGUUCCUGGUCACAGCUGACUUCCAGUUGAGAAGUCUGUUUGUGGCUUGGGUCCCCAGACCAGACUUCAUCGUGAGGAAUAGGCUUUGCUAUGGUGGGAGCUGUAACUCAGACAGAGACCAAGUUCAAGAGCUUCUACCUGACAUUGGCUCCCAUGGGUCAGCCCCUGUAAGCCUUCCCCUGGAGCUGUCAGGGAGCCUCUCCCAGUGUCACCAGCUGCACUGCGCCACGCUGGGCUCUGAGCUCAGACAGACAAACCCCAUGAUGGGAGAGGAUUUGCUCAGGGUCCUUUCAGCACCAUUGUUUACAGGCAAACAUGCUGCUGUUGUCAAGGAUUCAGCACUUCCACUAGAUCAUUUUAUCUACCCGAUUUCAGCCCACUGCAAAUGUGAAGUAAAUUACUUGGAAAUUGCAGAAGAGCAGGGGAUGUGCAAGGAAGGAAUAACAGAAGAGUCAACUGAGGAAAGGUGUGCACUAGAGUGGAGCAGGCAAUGCCAUUAUUAAACGUGGUGUUGCAGUGUAAGAGAGAGUCUUGUGAAUGGACCUUAAGCAGCUGCAGCAGUGUUCAGGUUGAAUGGUAAUAGGCUGUGCCAAGGCAGCACAUCGGGACUGGGGGCCGCGGGAGGAGUGCUUCCACCAGCUGCUCAUCUGAAAUAUCUCGAGAGACAAGGUCGAUGAAGAAGGAAGGGGAGGAGAUACUUCAGUUGCCAGAGCAGGGAUUUCUCUUCAGCCUGAGGUGAAGAGCAUGGUGAGGCAGCUGUGUCCCUGCAGCCCAUGGAGGUCCACAGUGGAGCUGGCAGAUGUGUCCGAAGGAAGCUAUGAUUCUGUGGGAAGCCCACAGGGGAGCAGAUUUUCUGGCAGGACACGUGAGCCCUCGGGGAACCCACACUGGGGAAUAUGUUCCUGCAGCACCACAUGCUACAGAGGGGCCCAUAGUGUAGCAGUUCAUGAAGAACUGCAGCCCAUGGAAAGGGACAACAUUGGAGAAUUUAACAGAAGCCAGUUUCCUAUCGGAGGGGCCCCAUAUUGGUGCUGAGAAAGCAGUUCUCCCCCUGAGGAGGAAGCAGAGGCAGAAACAACACAUGAUGAACUGACCAUAGACCCCAUUCCCUGUACCCCUAAAACUGCUGAUGGAAGAAGUUAGACAAAUAGGACUGAAGUUCAGAAGGAGAGGGGUUUUUAAGAUUUGGGUUUAUUUCUCAUUAUUCUACUCUGAUUCGGUUGGUAAUGAAUAAAAUUU
rnacentral:lncRNA from 1 species